rnacentral:rRNA from 1 species
AUGAAGAUAGAUACAGUUUGACCUGCCCACUGAUUAAUUUAAGGGCCGCGGUAUUCCUAACCGUGCUAAGGUAGCAUAAUCAUUAGUCUCUUAAUUGGAGGCUUGUAUGAAAGGUUGGACGAGAAAUAUACUGUUUCAAAUAAAAAAUUUGAAUUUAACUUUUAAGUGAAAAGGCUUAAAUAAAUUAAAAAGACGAUAAGACCCUAUAAAUCUUAACGGUAAAGUUAAUGUUUUUUGAUUUAUUAGUAUAAAAAAAUACUUAAACUAUACGUUUGGUUGGGGCGACAUAAAUAUAAAAUAAUUAACUGUUUGAAUAUUUAAACAAUUAUUGUUGAAGUGAAAUGAUCCUGCUAUAGAGAUUAAAAGACCAAGUUACUUUAGGGAUAACAGCGUUAUUCUUUUUGAGAGUUCUUAUUAAAAAAAGAGUUUGCGACCUCGAUGUUGAAUUAAAAAUUCUUUAUGGUGCAGCAGCUAUAAAAGAAAGUCUGUUCGACUUUUAAAUUUUUACAUGAUUU